GUCUAUGGCCAUGCUACCCUGAACAAGCCCAUCUGAUCUUGGAAGCUAAGCAGGGUCGGGCCUGGUUAGUACUUGGAUGGGAGACCACCUAGGAAGACAAGGUGCUGUAAGCA
rfam:Pteropus alecto contig168220, whole genome shotgun sequence.